UCCAACUAAUCCAACUAAUUACUCCGGGAAAAAAACGUAUAUGCUAAAAGCUCAACUACUUUUUUGCUUUCUCCUAAACUUCUCCGUCGCCCCUUCACUGUCUCUCUCUUUGACACAUGCAAACUGAUGUUGCCUCUCUCUUUGAUCUGAUCUCCGUCUCGAUUAUGACUCAAAAAACAGAUCAAAUACAAAAUCGGAGGAAUCCUAAUCCAUAAUCAUCAGAUUGUUCAUCGAUUUAUUCAAAAAAGGUUAGGAUGUUUAUAUUCUUUUUAUUUAAUUGACAUUGUGAACGAUUAGGUGUUUUUAAUCAUAAAAAUUGUUCAAAUCUUUUUUAGAUCUGGCAUCUCUAAUAGUAGAUUGGCCAUCUCCGUUAAAAUCUUUGAAGAUUAGCAUGUAAUAGAUAAAGUCAGUGUUAAUUUGGAAUCUUUGUGUACAUCGAAACUCAAUUAUAUGAUGACCAGAUAUUGGAAUCAUUGCAAGGUAACGUAAAGAAGAAAAAGGAGAUGAUUUGAUUAAACGCUUUCUAUCGAAUUAUGACAGAAGCAAAGUUGGGUUUCUAUUUCUCUUAAACGAUUUCUGUUUGGUAGGUUCUUUUUUUUCUAGUUUCUAUUUUGAAUAUUCAUUGGUUGUUCUGUCACUUCUAUAACUCACAAAAGAAAAAGGCAACUUUGAUUAUUUAUAGUUGAUAAUGUUUUUGUUUUUUUUACUUGUGUUCCAGAGAUGAUCCUAACGAAGCAUUAUUCUCUAUUCAUAAUUUUACUAAGAGCAUAAGCAGCGGGUGAUAGUUCAGGUUUACAUCUCUUAAAACUCUUUCUUUGUUCUUUUGAAAUUAUUAUGUGUUUACUAAAAGCAUGUCUUAUCCUUUACACGGUUGAUAUGAGACACAUAGUGAAGGAAAACAAAGACUGAAACAAACGAAUGAAAAGCAUAAACAACUUGUCUUGCAUAUCAGGUUAGUUGGUCGAUACUGCCCACCAGCCUGGGAUACGGUGAAGUUUUCAACAAAUCGCCAUUCUCCAAUUGGUAAGCCUCGCUGAACCCGGAACAUUUGACUUCGUUUGCAUGAAGCAUGAAUCUUACCACCCUGUGAGAAGGAGAAACAAAGUAUUAAAUUCUGUUUCCAGGAAUGAAGCAUCUUCACACGUACUCUCCACCCGGUUUUGAAAGGCUUGACAUCCUUAAGCAGGUAACUAAUUAUGGAGGAUCUCGAUGGCUUUUAAGGAGAUACGGAUGCAAUAUAAGACAUUUGGAAAUAUCUAUAUCUUGGAGAAAAAAAGACGUGGGCUGAAGGUUUAGUUUAGAAAAUUAAGGAAAUCAUAUAUUCUAUAUUGCAACCAAGAUUCAAGCGAGAAUUCAAACUCUCUAGAUUGCAACGGAGAAUCUGGUUAAUUUUGUUAAAUUACGAAAAGGACAUUAAUGAAGUCAGGAAAGAAAACGUUUUGUCCUGCUAA